rnacentral:tRNA from 1 species
GCAGCCAUGGCCUACUGGUUAGGGCUUCGGGCUUGUAACCAUAGGGUUGCCGGUUCGAUCCCCGACCAGUAGGA